AGUCCUCGCAGGCCGAGGCCGCCGGGCUCCGCGCGCAGCUGUCCGAGUGCCGGUGGGAGCUGCGCGCCUCGCGGAGGGACCUGCAGGAGCGCGCACGGGACCAGGCGCGCACGCGAGAGGCCCUCGGGCUGGAGGCGUCCGCGGGGCUCCUGGGAAGCCAGCAGCUGGAGGAGAAGGUCUCGGAGCUCAGGAAGGAGCUGGCCUCGGCCCGGGAGGCACUGAGCGCCGCCCAGCUGCAGAGGGACGUUGUGGAGAGCGAGAGGGAGGGCCUACGUGGAGCUCUGGCUCGGGCCGAGUCCAGCAAUGCUGACCUAGAACUGCUCGUGGGGAGGCUGAGGUCAGAGGGCGUGGAGCAAAGGGACUCCCUGGCCCAGAUGGCUGCCCUGCUGGAAGGGCUGGCUCAGGACAAGGGCACCCUGAACCACCUGGUCCUGCAGCUGGAGGGGCGGGCGGCCCAGCUCGGGCGCGAGAAGGCCCAGCUCCAGGAGCAGGUGGGCCAGCUCACACGCAAGACACGGGCCCUGGAGGAGCAGCUGGCGCGGAGCCUGCAGGACCAGGAGACCCAGCUGGACGCUCUGCAGCGAGCCCUGCAGGAGAAGGACGCCCUGUCCGCGCAGCGGGCCCAGCUGCUGGCCGAGCAGGAGGCCGUAGAGAGGCAGGGCCAGCUCGAGGCCAAGGAGGCGGCCGACCUCAGGGCCGAGAGGGACUCCCUGGAGAGCCGCCUCUUUGAGGCCCAGCAGCUGGCGACGCAGCUGCAGGUGCAGCAGGAGCGGCUGGCGGGAGAGGCCCGGAGUGCCCGGCUGGCUCAGCGCAACUCGCAAGCGGAAGCGGAGCAGCUGAGAAGCGAGUGGGAGGCCCAGGAGGCGCAGCUGCGGCAGGUGGCGAGGCAGGAGCGGGAGGCGCAGGGGGCCCUGGAGCGCCAGGCGCUGGCCCAGCUCGAGGACCUGGCGCAGCUGCAGAGGGAGAAGGAAACCCUGAGUCUGGCCCUGGCGGAGGAGAAGGAGGCGGCCGAGUUCCAGCGGCAGCAGGAGAAGGAGCUGGCGGCCAGAAGCGCAUCCGAGAGGGAGGCUCUGAAAGAGGAAAUUCGGAGCCUGAAGCAGGAGCGGGAUGAGAGCCGCCUCCAGCUGGAGCAGGAGAUGCAACAGGCGCUGUCUCUGAAGGAAGCCCAGCUCGGCCUGCUCAGCAAGGAGCUCUCCAAGGCUGACCGCGAGCGGGAGCAGGUGCAGCAGGAGGCCCAGAGCCGGCAGGAGCAGGCGGAGGCCACCAUCCGCGCCACGGCGGAGGAGCUGAAGGCCCUGCAGGCCCAGUUUGAGGGAGCCAUCGCUGCCCACCAGAGGGAGGCCGCUCCCAGGCACCCCGAGGGGCAGGCCGGGCGCCGGAGAGGAAGGGAACAUGAUUUAACAUGACGGGCUGUUUAUGUUGGCCCCGGAGAGAAAGGUCUCCUUUCAACAGAUUUCAAAGUCAGGCC
rnacentral:lncRNA from 1 species